GUGUGUGUGUGUGUGUGUGUGUGUGUGUGUGUGUGUGGUGGGGGGCUUCUUUUUGUCCAAAACUGAUCCCCAAAUUAUUCUGGGGGCUCAGAUUGGUGUGAAAGGGACGAGAAGGUCACUUGAAAUCGCCUUUUAUCCGCUGGCUUUUUUCUAUGGAUCAGCAACUUUCAAUAGACAUAAUCUAAUCGCUCUUAAUGGAAAGGCCAUUCGUGAGAAAUAGUGGAAAUAUCGUUGAGCCUAUAGGCUACAACCAUUUAAGACCAACGCAUUUAACAGGCAAUAAGAGUUAACAUAAUAGCAUGGCUGUUAAUUAUUACUGGAAACUGAAAAGUGUUUGCCGAAACAGGGAAAGUAACACACAGUUUAAAACCGACAGAUGCAAACAGCAUUCUGUGGAUUAAGGAUAUAUAUAUAUCUUAAUUUGUUUUAUAUUUAUUAUAAUACUUAAUUAUUUCAUAAUUGUAUUGUGUUUUUUUUAAAUUAAUAUAUUAUUUUGCCCUAAAAGGACUUUAGUUUAGCAGUAAAAUUGCACUAUCCCAUAGUUUGAAUCAUGCUAGUUUGUAUUAUUGUGCCUUUUCUCAUUAUUUUUAUUAUGGCCCGUGUCUCCUGAGAUUUGAGAUCCCUCAGUUUUGGACGUGAUAAAUGAAAGUCUCUUUCUAGGGUUUUUGCAUCCCAGACUAUAAUUGUGCACAAUAACUGCAAUGACUUUCCCAAUUAGGCUUGAGGUUGGAGUUAAGUUAGAGGGACUGUCAGUUUAAGCUAUGGGCAAUGGCUUUAUUGCUAACCAUCAUUUCUUUAGCGCCCAUGUGCUAAUUACUCUGGAUGGUCCCAGAGACGGAGAUUAUAAAUCCAUUAGCACCCAAAACCUCGUGGUUCCACAGUGCAAACACUGUAAUUUUGUAGUAAAACCAAAAACCAAACUUUAAGUAGCCUACCAGAAGCUAGAUGAAGGGAAACAGAUUUGCAAAAGCACAUGUGUACUUCUUAGACAUCCACUGUGAGGGGAAGCCCAGCGUAUAUCAAUCAGCAGCUAAACCGAAACACAGAGUAAACGAAGCAGGACAGAACAUUAACUGUCAGGGGAAAAUGUCUCAUCAGUGGUCGAUGGUUAGAUUCAAACACGGUCUGUUUAUAUUACUGUGUCAACUUAAUGUAGCAUUGUAGUCAUAAAUGAUCAACACAACACCGUUUUCAUGUGGUUUCUAUUUUUAUGCAAGUUUGGUAAAUAAUGUAUUGUUAUUAAAGUGCAUUAGAAAUAUCCAGGGAGCGCCGCGGUCCGGAGGAAUGAAGUGAAUUAGAAAAAUACAUAUUGCCUGUUAACUGCGUUUAAAGAAGGCAGUACAAAAACCGGAACCCAUACGGGGGUGCGUGUGAAGGCAUCUCACCCUUAAAGUAAUUUAUUUCAGGGAAACCGGAGGGCAAAGGUGGAAUUCUUGAGAAAUUCAACAAGGAUAAGGGAGCUUUAGGAAUUCUGCACGCAGAUUACCUUUCAUUCCAUCCUCACAUUAUCCGACAACACACAGUAGAAAUAUAGCUCAGCGACAAAAGAGCGAGAUUACCCUCCGACACAGAAGAGUGCAAACAAUUUUUAAGAAGUAUGGCGAUUAUAGGGGAGCGAACAAGGAGAGAGAGGCAAAGGAGGAGAGAGGAAGGGGGGGGGUCAACACAGUAUAGGAGCGAUUCAAUGUGUGCUUUCAAAGGGGGAGACACAAAAAGAAGCUCGUCGUUCAUAAAGUGUACUGUCACUGUCGUGUGGGGGACCCAUGUUAAAACAGUAUUUAAAACAGUAAUUUCAUAUUAAACACAAUUUUAAAAUGAGCAGAUGAUUACUGAUUGGUUCUUUUUAGGUGACAGUUUGUUGUUUACACUGUUGGUUAUGAUUACUGACCCUGGGUCAGAGUUUGACCCCCUUCUGGCUUAACUUGUUUGGUUGUUUUGGUUUGUAACUAACUGAGUGGCAUCACAUCAGCACUGGGAUUUUUCCCCCUCAAUUUUCUUACCCCAAAACCAACACACAGAAGGGGUUUAAUUAGAAAUGUAGUGUAGCUGAACCAUCAUAAUGCUGGAGCAAAAUUGGCAGAUUUACAUCAGUACAGAGAAAAAAGGAAACAACAUUGGUCCGAUUGGGUAAACCACACAUUUAUUUAUUUGUCAGCCCUUAAAAUAUGAUAUGCCAUAAAUGAAUAGCUGCAAUACAAUGUUUUCUUCAAUUUAAAACAUCUCAUAUAUAUAUUACAUAUAAUGCAACAAAUAUAGCACAGAUUAUAAAAAACAGCACAUUUCUUAAUAAAAACAUUAAAGAAACACAUAUAUAUAUUUAAACCAAAAGACAUCCCUCCCUCUUUCACACCAACCACACUGGACGGAACCCUUUUGACAUUUUGUGUAUUUUCAUUUUAAACAUGUGUGUUAAAAGACAGUGAAGUGAAGGUGUGAAGGUGGCCUGUGUUUAGCGUCCAGACCUGGCAGAUUGUGACCUUAUCAAUGUGAAACUCUUAAGAUAAAUUAUUCAUAGCACCUGUUUGAUGUCUCCGGCCAAAGAAUGACAAAGGUGUAAGAUUUAAGAUCCAUCUCAAAAGCCAUGAAUAUCAGCCGCUGUGCUACCUGUCCUUUUUUUAAGAGGAGAAAAAUAGAUAGAUAGGCUGCAUUUUAAACCAUGAAAAUGAACAAUUUGUUCCCUUACAGGAGGUGCAGACGAGAGCAGCCAGAGAACAGACAUAGAUACAGUAGCAGAGAGCAACAUGGCGGCCAGGUGUUCAGAAACACAGCGGGACGUGUCGGUGUGGUGCAAGGAUUGACACUUGGAUGAGAUGUAAUUUAUUGCGAGUGCUGUUUGAUUAUAAGACGUUGAUGGUGAUACUACUGCUUAGUAUGAGCGUUGGCCCACUUGACAUGACAGCCCUGCAGUGACAGGCUUAUUGUACUUAAUCAAAUACGUAUGUGGUAAAUAUAACAUCAAUUGUAAAUUAAUAGUAACUCUUAAUAGAUUUGAACAGGCUGCCCUCUCUGGAUUGUAUUGGUCUGUUAAGAUUUGUUCUGUUCACUAAGUACAUUUCUGGAGUGUGUGUUUAUCAAGUACUAACACAAACUACUCAGAAAUGAAUCCAAGCAUCAUGGAACUAAAAUGUGUUCUCAAUGAUUUGUUUUGGAAAAAGACCAGUAUGCCUAUUCGCAAAAUGAAAGCUGAUAUUUUCGUAGCUAGAGGUCAACAUAAUACACUAUAAAUAAAACAAAUAAGAGUAGGACUGAUAAUAAUGAUGAUAUAUACAGAUGUACAGAUUAUACAUAUACAGAUUAGUUUGAAUUAUGUGUGAGCGCGCUGAAGGAGAGGUAAGGAGACACUCUCACAGACGCUUUCACACAUGUUUGUGUGUUUGCUUGACUCUCUGUGUGUGUGUGUGUUUGUGUGUGUGUGAUAGCCAAGUCAGUUUCCCCUCAGAUGUUCCCUUUGACCUUUGACCCAACAGUUGGGGUCAAGCCCUGACAAAUGAGAUGGUCGAGUUUUGGCCAGAACUGCAAACAUUCCACAACAAUCUUCUGUACUCCUCCUCCUCCUCCUCCUCCUCCUCCUCCUCCCCUCUUCUCAUAUCCGUCCUUCCAGUAUGUCUCCUAGACGAGAGGAGGGAGAAAGUUCUCAUUACACGAAAACAUUUUUUAUUGAAUUUGCUGUGGGAAUCUUAAAACACACACCCUUCAAAUGAAGAAUUACGGCAUCGGUUAAAUGUAAUAUCCCCAACAUCUGUCUUGUUUACAAAAGGAAAGAAAACAAAAAGAGUAUGAACACAGGACAAACAUAUGUGUUAAAGAUUGAGAUUUUAUAGCCCUGCACUUUGAAAGCACACUGUGUGUGUUUGGAAAGCUUGUCAGUGAUGUCAAGGAUGAGAAAUGUUGCAGUGUGUUUUUUUUACACACACUGCUGGCUCUAGCAUUUCCGGCAACAUUUCUCACUCUGCCUCCCUCACACCACCCGCUCUGCUGCAAUAUCCCCACAUUUUUCCAUCCUUUCACUUCUUCCCCUUCCUCCCUCUCUGUUCGCCUCGUCUCCACUCUAUGACCACUCUUGCUCCCGUUACCCUUCCUGCACCACCCUGCUCAAUCUCAGCCUCUCCCUCCCUUUGCUCACCUCCCAGCACAUUCACUCACUCCCCCCUUCUCCCUUUUUCCUCCACCCACUAUUUUCUCUGAUUUUCUAACCUGUCGUUCCACAGAAUGCUACCACCUGUGUCUUUAGAGGCAAAAGGGGGGGCUAUUGGAAUUCCUUUUUGGAAAGCUGGUCAAGGUAAGUGGCACCCUCUAUUACAAUGACACGGCAAAUUAUGGUGCUGCCAGUUGUGUUUCUGCAUUACGGGGUCUUUUUUUUCAUGGAAUGAACCCGGCUUCCUAAGCAUCACCACUCUCUAUCAAAGCUCUAGCUACAAGUCACUGCUUUAAAAAACACACGCGGUCACCAUUGAUGAACGUCAGCAGAGCAACCUCAGUGCCACAAAGGAGCCUGGAGACCAACAAAGCCGGCUGAUACAGUAACAGAGUGGAUCAUGCUCUUGAAAUUGCUUUCAUAAUGAUGUAAUUUUACUAAAAGGCAAUGCAACACAGCAAAGAUCUUAAUAAAAACAUAUCAAUCUUAA